CCUAGUCCUUAACAGAGAUAUGCCCACCACAACAUUAUCCGCCAGAGGACUACAAGCGAAAAGCUUAAAACUCCAAGGACUUGGCGGUGCUUCAAACCAACCUAGAGGAGCCUGUCCUAUAAUCGAUACCCCGCGUUCUACCUUACCACCCCUAGACAACCAGCCUAUAUACCGCCGUCGUAGGCCUACCCUGUGAAAGAACCAAAGUAGGCAAAACAGUUAGUAACUAAUACGUCAGGUCAAGGUGUAGCACAUGGGGCGGCAGAGAUGGCCUACAUUCUUAACACAUUAAACACACGAACGGCACACUGAAACACAUGCCCGAAGGCGGAUUUAGUAGUAAGAUAAACAAGAAGACUUAUCUUAAACCUGCUCUGAAGCGCGC
rnacentral:rRNA from 1 species